GAAGAACAAAAGCUUUCAGGAAAACAAAGCCCAACCCCUUAAUGAAACAGGAAAGGAUAUACAGUUUCAAAUGCUUGCUUUCCUUGCUUUCUGAGAAGAAAGAUGCCUUGCCUGUUGAAGGUGGCAGAUGCAGGUUGCUCUAUGGGCCUCGGGAAGGGUCACUGCAGCUGUCACCUGCCCACCCACGUGUCCUGAGGCACUGUGACAUCUUGACAGGUGUCCCGACUCUUGGCCUUGACAUGUCCUGUCAGGCCUGCCUGUCAGCUGGGACUGGGCUUGGGGAAGAGCCUGCGGGCCUGGGGCCUGGUAGCACUUGCUUAGUUAAACAUCUGUGGCUGCUAUUGCCCUGUCACAGGCCAGCAAGUCAGAACUACUCAGAUUCACUUCACAGCGAUAGUCCUUCAGUCUUCUGAUUAUGUGGCUCUGCAGCAGGGAGAGGGAGACAUUCAUGAGCAAGUGUGCAAAAUGCAUUUAAUGCCUACCAGUGGUGUACAGCCAUCCAUUGCUUCGGUCUGCCCAGUGUCUGUCUCCCUGUCUUUUGAUACGAGGGGCCAGAGUUUCUCUGGGGAAUUCCUUUCAGUUUCUGCAGUUCUGGGACAGUUACCCUUCACCCAGUACUAUGUCAAUAUGGGCACAUGACUCAAGCCAGCCAGAGUUCACUUUCUCUAGACUUAAUCACUCAGAGGGAGCUAUCCCUUAAGCCACAGUGAUUGGUUCAGAAAUGGGCACAUGAUCAAACUAGACCAAUGAGUCUCAGUUCUGAGAUUUUGAGUUAAGACCGCUUGGAAAAAGAACUGUUUAUGGAAAUAGAAGCUGGAGUGAUGAAA